CCUACGGGUGGCAGCAGUGGGGAAUAUUGCUCAAUGGGGGAAACCCUGAAGCAGCAACGCCGCGUGAGUGAAGAAGGUUUUCGGUAUGUAAAGCCCUAUUAGUAGGGAAGAAGAUGACGGUACCUGACUAAGAAGCACCGGCUAACUACGUGCCAGCAGCCGCGGUAAUACGUAGGGGGCAAGCGUUAUACGGAUUCACUGGGCGUAAAGGGCGCGUAGGCGGGAUAGCAAGUCAGAAGUGAAAUCCCAGGGCUUAACCCCGGGACUGCAUUGGAAACUGUCAUUCUAGAGUAGGGGAGAGGUAGGCGGAAUUCUUGGUGUAGCGGUGAAAUGCGUAGAGAUUAAGAAGAACACUAAUUGCGAAGGCGACAUGCUAGAACAUAACUGACGCUGAGGCGCGAAAGCGUGGGGAGCAAACAGGAUUAGAUACCCGUGUAGUC
rnacentral:rRNA from 1 species